rnacentral:rRNA from 1 species
GACGAACGCUGUCGGCGUGCCUAAUACAUGCAAGUCGAACGCAGUGGGGACGGGUGAGUAACACGUGGGUAACCUCCCAUCAGAGGGGAUAACGCUUGGAAACAGGUGCUAAAACGAUACUGAUGGAUGGACCCUCGGUGGAUUAACUAGUUGGUGAGGUAACGGCUCACCAAGGCCACGAUGCAUAGCCGACCUGGUAGGGUGAUCGGCCCCACUGGGACUGAGACCCGGCCCAGACUCCUACGGGAGGCAGCAGUAGGGAAUCUUCGGCAAUGGACGAAAGUCUGACCGAGCAACGCCGCGUGAGUGAAGAAGGUUUUCGGAUCGUAGAACUCUGUUGUUAGAGAAGCGGUAUCUAACCAGAACGCCACGGCGAACUACGUGCCAGCAGCCGCGGUAAUAC